UAAAAAUGUAUCUCACUGGGGGAUUGUUUAGGGCUCUUUGCCACUAAAAAUCUUGAAACCUCCUGGUAUAGAAAAUCUGGGAAAUUCAUAAGCAAAUAAACAUGUAAUUUUUAUAGUUUAACACUGUGUGUUGCUAAUAAUUGACUGUGCAAAAACACAUUAUGGUUGUCCCAAACCAUCAGUGUAACUGCUCAUAUUUCAUAUUCAUAACUUGCAUUUGAAAGCACAUCUGUUGCCAUUUUUCAAAUAAAUUACUUUUUUUCAUGGUGACACAAAGAAUUGUGGGAUAUCUUUAGCAACAAACGCUAUUCCUCAUGCCUCUUUCACAUUUCUGUGAAAGAAGGUUUCAUUCGAAGGGUGCAUUCACUUUUUUUAAAUGAGACAGAUGAAUACCUGAUAUGAUUUGAAUACCUGCUGUCUUCAAUCAUCAUGUCUUUAAUAAUCAGUGUUAAUUUAUAUUUUAUCCAUUUAGCAUCAAGACAGAAUUUGGAACAAAGGAGUCUCCAAAUGUGAUGUUGUUCAAUUUUGGCUAUGCAGUCUCAUUUGAAAUGUUAUCUCUGACCACGGCCUGUAAGAUGGAUCUCCACAGGUUUCCCUUCGACACCCAAAGCUGCAAUAUAACACUUCAGUCUACAUCAUAUUCAAGUACAUCUGAAACAAACACAAGAUAACAUGGUUUAUUCUUCUAAACUAUUUGAAUUUAAUAUUAAAUAACACAAUUUUAAUGUCUGUUACCACACAUCAUGACAUUGCAUUGGAUUUACUAACUAAUAAAUUGAACAUCACCUCUGAGUCGAAGAAAUUUCAGGCCCAGGGAGAGUGGGAGCUCCUCGAAAUAAACUACACUAAAGCUACCCUGGCUAAGUGGAUUGAAGUGGAUCAGCUGAUAUAUCAGAUCACCAUAAAAAGAAGACCUAAACUGUCAUAAUCAUUAUAGUACCGGUAUUUUUCUUCCUUUUACUGGAUGUGGCCUCCUUCAUUGACACAAAAGAAGAAGACAAGCUGAACUUUAAAGUGACUUUACUCCUGUCUAUUUCUGUGAUGCUGCUGAUUCUUAACGACACGCUGCCCUCUACAGCUGAAAAUCUUCCUCUGAUUGGGGUUUACUGCUGUGCAAUUUUUUGUCUCAUUGGCAUCAGCAUUGUGGAGACCAUCUUUGUGAAUUUUCUGAAGACUAAAGCAGCUGAGAAGAGAUCAGUGGAAACAACAGCUGCUGUUACUGUUACUGGCCGAGAUGACCUGGCGAGUACUCCAGACUCAGUUAAAGAUCAGAAUGAUAAGCAUUCUUGUACCAUCGACCUUCUGAAGCAGAUACUCACUGAGGUUCAGGCUGCAACUCAACAAAACCAACGAAAGAAAACAUCUCUGUGCUGGACCAGAGUGGCAAGAAUCAUAGAUGUGACCUUCUUGGUUCUUUACAUAAUCACCAUUAUUGUGUUUCUGUCUGUGCUUGGGAAGUUUUGGCUUCCAUAGAGAAGUCUUAUACAUGAGACACACAAUACUAUCUUUUAUUCAGAAUUUAAAUAUAGUUUACAUAGAGUUUAACACAAGAAUACACAGCAAAACACAAAGAUGCAGACAGAAAACACGUAUAUUAUGUAUGUAUGUGUGUAUGUAUGUAUGGUUUGUUUGUUUUUUUUCACUUGAGCACCUGCCCCUCAAAAUAGCUAUAUGCAGGUGAUAAUUAAAUAAAUAAUAUAAUUAUUUGUAAAAAGGUAAAACUGCAUACUGUUGAUCAUCUUUUAAAUAAUUGCACUGUUUAACACUACAACUGUUAUACCACACAGCAAAAUCCCCAGUGUUAAAUUAACUUCCCUCAGUGUACAUGUGUCCACACUGAAGCAAAAAAUAACUGAAACAGUGUUGAAGUUAAUGGAAUAAUUAAAGGGACAGUUCACCCAAAAAAAACGAAAUGAUCCCAUGAUUUACUCACCCUCAAGCCAUCCUAUGUCUAUAUGGCUAUCUUCUUUCAGACAAACACAAUCUGAGUUAUAUAUUAAAAUAUCCUGGCUCUUCCAAGCUUAAUAAUAGUAGUGAAUGGCGCUCCUGAUUUUUUCUGAGAAUACUCUUUUGGUGCAAGUUGAUUUGCGUUGGCUGUCUGCCGGAAGCUAAUUAUUUUAGUUUAUAAAGAUUUAAAUAUGAAUAUUUUUCUUACAAAAGCCCAUUGUCACAGAUCCCUUGUUCUCCGAACUCCAUUUCCCAUGAUCCUCCUGUUCUCCACACCUGCACUCACUUCCCUCGUCAUCUCCCCAUUAUCACUCAUCAUCAUCACCUGGACUUCCUUGUUAGCACUCCCUAUAUUUAUAGACUCACUCCCUUCACUCCUUGUCUGUUCUAAAUGUUAUAUUGAAUGUGUUGGUUGUUUGUUAUGCUCCUGCUUUCAUUAAAUACCCUUUGAUUGUGGAUGUCCGUAUACGUCUCGUCUCUACAACCCAGCACCCGUAACAGAAGAACAGACCAAAACUGCUGUAUAUCCACAAAAGAAGAUUGGGAUUUUCCUGACUCCCUUGCACCCCGAAUCUCUCCGGGUGGAGGAAAAACUUUGCCGUGUGCAGCAGGGUGGCAGGCCGUUGGAGAGGUAUAUAUCCUUUUAAAUGGUUCUAAUAUUGAAGUGGAUAAAAUUCAAAAGAACCAGAGUCCUUGUCCAGCCCCAUCAGCAGCUUAUCGGGCAUCACCAGCUCACCUCACCCCAGAACCCUGCACAUACCGCCUCAACGGUCCUGCCUACUCCUGGCUGCCAGCUCCAGCCGCCGCCGCCGAGCCCUCAGCUCCAGCCGCCGCCGCCGAGCCUUCAGCUCAAGCCACCGCCGCUGAGCAAACCUCUCC